rnacentral:rRNA from 1 species
GACGAACGCUGGCGGCGUGCUUAACACAUGCAAGUCGAACGGAAAGGCCCUGCUUUUGUUGGUUGCUCGAGUGGCGAACGGGUGAGUAACACGUGAGUAAACUCCCCUUGACUUUGUGAUAAAUUCUGGAAACUGGGGCUAAUACCGGAUAUGAUCUCUUGCUGCAUGUUGGGGGUUGGAAAGUUUCGGCGUUUGUGGAUGGACUCGCGGCUUAUGAGCUUGAUGGUGGGGUAGUGGCUUACCAGGGCUUUGACGGGUAGCCCGCCUGAGAGGGUGACCGGCCACCAGGGGACUGCGAUACGGCCCAGACUCCUAUGUGAGGCAGCAGUGGAGAAUAUUGCACAAUGGGCGGAAGCGUGAUGCAGCAACGCCGCGUGCGGGAUGCCGGCCUUCGGGUUGUGAACCGCUUUCGACUGAGCCGAAGCCGGCGUGACGGUAAUGGGUCAAGAAGCAACGGCUAACUACGUG